GGCAACGAUCCGUAGCGGGUCUGAGAGGAUGAUCCGCCACACUGGGACUGAGACACGGCCCAGACUCCUACGGGAGGCAGCAGUGGGGAAUUUUGGACAAUGGGCGCAAGCCUGAUCCAGCCAUGCCGCGUGAGUGAAGAAGGCCUUCGGGUUGUAAAAGCUCUUUCGGCUGGGAAGAAAUCGCAUCUCCUAAUACGGGGGUGUGGAUGACGGUACCAGCAUAAGAAGCACCGGCUAACUACGUGCCAGCAGCCGCGGUAAUACGUAGGGUGCGAGCGUUAAUCGGAAUUACUGGGCGUAAAGCGUGCGCAGGCGGUUUCGUAAGACAGAGGUGAAAUCCCCGGGCUCAACCUGGGAACUGCCUUUGUGACUGCGAGGCUAGAGUAUGGCAGAGGGGGUGGAAUUCCACGUGUAGCAGUGAAAUGCGUAGAGAUGUGGAGGAACACCGAUGGCGAAGGCAGCCCCCUGGGCCAAUACUGACGCUCAUGCACGAAAGCGUGGG
rnacentral:rRNA from 1 species